rnacentral:rRNA from 1 species
GGGCGUUCGCUUUUGCUGCAGCGCAGCCGGUAGUGUUCCCUCACAUCUCGAGACCCGCAUCGUCCUUCCCUCUCCUCCUCCUUUCUCCUCGUCAGCCACCAAUCCGCCUCCUCGUAGCUCCGUUUACUCCACCGAUUUCUCUCCUGCUGCCGGCCUCCCAGCCCCCCACCUCACAACGGCAUUUCCUGAGGAGCAGCGCGAGCGAGGCCAAUAGGCGGACGGAGCGGAUCGUGGGCACGCUGGAUCGUCAUCUGAUUUGGCACCUUUUGGAUCCGCGCCGCUGCGUGCGAUGGUUCUAAAUCAGUGCAGGUCGUCGCCGCGGGAUAGUAGGGCCGGCGGAUUCUUCGCAUCUGGGGCUGGCGGGCAGGGGAGGGUCAGGAGGCUGGCAUGACUUGCUAACGAGCAGAGAGGUCGGCGGCGCUCUCGCUUUGACCGCUUUGCUCUCUUUCUCCUCCUCGCUGUGUUGCGCGCGUGCUCUCUCUCUCUCUCUCUCUCUCUCUCUCUCUCUCUCUCUCUCUCUCUCUCUCUCUCUCUCUCUCUCUCUCUCUCUCUCUCUUCUUCGAUUGGAUUGCCUCUCCUUCACCGGUGGUGUGCUCUCGUCGGCUGCAAUUGCGUCCAUACUCUGGACGAGACUGCUGGUUGAUUAUCUUGCCAUCCUCUCCUGCGUCCACUGUCUCGCCGUUCUGCCUUCGGCGAUUAAUUGAGCUGGUUCUAGGAUCUCCUUUGUUGCUGCAUCUUGGUCUCCUGCUUUGCUGUAACUAUGUUCUGCUGCUUGAGGAUGGAGCAGCAGGCAUAGAUGAAAUCUACAGCCAAUUUCUAUUGGUUGCGGCAUCUUCCGCAUAGUAACUCUACAAAACAGCCUGCCAGCAUUGAUUCUUGCAAUAAAAAACAUAAGUCUGGCAUCAUUCAUAAAAAGCUUAUAGACUUAGAUAAUUUCUUAAUCCUGCACUGGUUCUCACCAGUGAGAUUGUAGAUGUGGUAUAUUGAGAAUACCAAUGUAAUUCACUGGUCCAAAAGCUCCAUUUCUUAAUGUGUUUUUUGCAGAAUGCUGCCAGUAAUGUUUUUCUUUUGCUCAGUCUAUCUCACUACAGAAAAUGUACAACAUGUCUGACAAACAUAUUUAUUAGUAGAUAUGAUUUUGGAUCUGAACUUUUCCCAGUCUGCAGCUCACAUUGUGGUAUGGUCAUAGUACAACAAAAGGAAAGGAUGUUUAAACUUUUUUUGGGCGUCAUACAUGAAAAGUAUCUUUAUUUCCAUCGAGCUUAAUUACUAAGAAAUUGUUACCACUAUUAAUAAACCUACAUGUUCUGAAAGUUCGGUCUCUUGCUCUCUUUGCUUAUGAAUCGGACACUUUCCCUUUCUUUAGUCCUUCCACGGUUCCACCUCACUUUGACUUCAUCCUUUGAUGGUGUUUGUAGGUAUGUAAGAGUGGUCAUAAUGUUACUUAAAGGAGGCCUCAACUUGCACCAAAUACAUGGGCAUGUGCAACAGCAACUUAUGUAGCUUGUCCAACAUCGCCUGAGAUGGUUUGGGCAUAUUCAGCGCAGGCCUCCAGAAGCUCCAGUGCAUAGCGGAUGGCUAAAGCGUGCGGAGAAUGUCAAGAGAGGGCGGGGUAGACCGAAUUUAACAUGGAAGGAGUCCGUUAAGAAAGACCUGAAGGAUUGGAGUAUCACCAAAGAGCUAGCUAUGGACAGGGGUGUGUGGAAGCAUGCUAUCCAUGUGCCAGAGCCAUGAGUUGGUUGCGAUAUCUUAUGGAUUUCACCUCUAGCCUACCCCAACUUGUUUGGGGACUAAAGGCUUUGUUGUUGUUGUUGUUGUUGUUGUUGUUGUUUUACGGUUUGUACGAUCCCUAAAGAUGGUGCUCCAUUGUUCUGUUAUCAAGAUUUGUUCCCUCCUUUCUUACUAGCUGAUACGUGAUGACCGUUUGCAUGGAGGGUUAUGUUAACUAUGUUCUUUGCAUAUAUAUUUAUGGUUCAAACUGUUUGUUGGGUAUUUAGUUUACACAUUGUGUCCUGAGAAUCUUGAUAUCUAGC